rnacentral:SRP_RNA from 1 species
UCUGGGUGUGGUGGUGUGUGCCUGUAGUCCCAGCUACUCAGGAGGCUGAGGUGGGAGGAUCGCUUAAGCCCAGGAGUUCUGGGCUAUAGUGCGCUAUGCCGAUCGGGAUGCACUAAGUUCGGCAUCAAUAUGGUGACUUCCUGGGAGCGGGGGACCACCAGGUUGCCUAAGGAGGAGUGAAACGGAGCAAGUCAAAACUCCCAUGUUGAUCAGUAGUGGGAUCGUGCCUGUGAAUAUAGCCACUGCACUCCAGCCUGGGCAACAUUGUAAGACCCCGUCUCU